CCCGAAGCAAAGGACCUCUACCGCAGCCUCUGCCUCAUACACCCCUUCACCACCUUCUGGAGCUUAUAAAGGAACAAAAGGAGGAAAGGCCAUUUGUUUCAGUGCUUGUGAAGAUUAUCAACUCGCUGCAGAUACAACACUUUUAUCAUCAGAGAGGGAAAUGACCGGUGCCAUGACCAUCACAUUCAUAAAGGCAAUCAAAGAAUCACAAGAAAGAAAAGAGAAGAUAAGUUACAAGGGUACCAUGGAUGCUAUUCAUGAAAGCAUCAAGCAAGCCGGUAAAUCGGGAGGCAUCUUUGCCGGAAUAUGCCGGAAAUUCCACCAGAGAAUCUUGCAGGAUCCAUUGUUGUCAUCUACUAAAGAGUUUAACACAAACACUGAGUUCAGUCUGUGAUAAUGGUUAAAGUAAAAUGUCACAUUGAAUUUCCUUUCUUCUUAGUAAUUACUACCUCCGUCCCCCAAAAUUUGCUACACUUUGAUCCGACACGGGUUUUAAGAAAUGUAAUGGAAAAUGAGUUGAAAAAGUUGGUGUG